AAUGAACGCUGGCGGCAGGCCUAACACAUGCAAGUCGAACGGGUCCUUCGGGACUAGUGGCGGACGGGUGAGUAACGCGUGGGAACGUGCCCCUUGGUACGGAAUAGCCCCGGGAAACUGGGAGUAAUACCGUAUGUGGUCGAGAGACGAAAGAUUUAUCGCCAAGGGAUCGGCCCGCGUUGGAUUAGGUAGUUGGUGGGGUAAUGGCCUACCAAGCCGACGAUCCAUAGCUGGUUUGAGAGGAUGAUCAGCCACACUGGGACUGAGACACGGCCCAGACUCCUACGGGAGGCAGCAGUGGGGAAUCUUAGACAAUGGGGGAAACCCUGAUCUAGCCAUGCCGCGUGAUCGAUGAAGGCCUUAGGGUUGUAAAAGAUCUUUCAGGUGGGAAGAUAAUGACUGUACCACCAGAAGAAGCCCCGGCUAACUCCGUG
rnacentral:rRNA from 1 species